rfam:Dipodomys ordii contig_46584, whole genome shotgun sequence.
GGGAAUGUGGCUUAGGGGUAGAGUGCAUGUCUAGCAUGCAUGAAGCCCUGGGUUUGAUUCCUCAGUACCA